GGGAUUACCUCAGUAACGGCGAGUGAAGCGGUAACAGCUCAAAAUUUGAAAUCUGGCUCUUUCAGGGGCCCGAGUUGUAAUUUGUAGAAGAUGCUUUGGGAGUGGCUCCGGUCUAAGUUCCUUGGAACAGGACGUCAUAGAGGGUGAGAAUCCCGUACGUGACCGGUGGCCUUCGCCCGUGUAAAGCUCUUUCGACGAGUCGAGUUGUUUGGGAAUGCAGCUCUAAAUGGGUGGUAUAUUUCAUCUAAAGCUAAAUAUUGGCCAGAGACCGAUAGCGCACAAGUAGAGUGAUCGAAAGAUGAAAAGCACUUUGGAAAGAGAGUUAAACAGUACGUGAAAUUGUUGAAAGGGAAGCGCUUGCAACCAGACUUGCACGCGGUCGAUCAUCCGAGGUUCUCCCCGGUGCACUCGACCGUGUUCAGGCCAGCAUCGGUUUCGGUGGUGGGAUAAAGGCCGUGGGAAUGUGGCUCCUCUCGGGGAGUGUUAUAGCCCUCGGUGC
rnacentral:rRNA from 1 species